UUCCGGUAACACAGUAGACUUGGGUAUUUUUCUUUUCAGUAGAUUGAAGAAUAUGAAUAACAUCUGUGUGUGUGUUGAAUACUUGUGGAACAAAAGCUCAGAAAUGUCACACUAAAAUGAACAAGACUUGGAGGAGCGUGGCUGUUGGACAAUCUCAGUUUCCAACUCUUCUGAGAUUCAGCACAGAGAAGAAGCAGAGGCCAUGACCUGCCCCUCCUAAUUUUCAGAGAAUGGACAAGGCAUCUAGUGUAACAUCACACUCCUGGCUAUCAACACACAGAAAAAAGAUGCCCUAAGAAGGACACACAACACUUCUGAGAUAUUCCUGCCCAAAAUGCACAUCUUCAAUAUGAUCACGAGAAAACAUCAGACGAACUCAAACUGAGAGUCGUUCUACCAAACAAGUGACCUGUACUCGUCAAGAGUGGGAAGAUCAUGAAAGACCAAGAAUGUACAGCUGUCACGACUGGGGGAGGCCGAGAUGACACAGCAAAUGAAGGUCAUGGGGUUUCAUCCUGGAACAGGAAAGGGGGUGAAAGGGCUCUCUCUUGAAAUUUGCAUGGAGUCUGCAAUUUAGUUAACAUCGUACAAAUGUUCAUAUCUUGGUUUGGACCACAGUACUGUGGUUAUCAAAGGUAUUAACAUUAGGGGAAGCGAACUCUGAACAAUUUUUUCAACUUGCAGUUUUGCAAUUUGAAAAUUAUUUCAAAAUAAAAACUUUCUUUAAAAA